UACAGAGGGGGCAAGCGUUGUCCGGAUUUAUUGGGCGUAAAGAGCGUGUAGGCGGCUUGGCAAGUCCGCUGUGAAAACUCGAGGCUUAACCUCGAGACGUCGGUGGAAACUGCCUGGCUAGAGUCCGGAAGAGGAGUGUGGAAUUCCUGGUGUAGCGGUGAAAUGCGCAGAUAUCAGGAAGAACACCUAUGGCGAAGGCAGCACUCUGGGACGGUACUGACGCUGAGACGCGAAAGCGUGGGGAGCGAACAGG
rnacentral:rRNA from 1 species